CGUUGUGCAACGAUCAUGUGAAAAUUUUUGGGAAGUGAAUUUCUGAAUUGUGGGAAAUAAGUUUAGACUAUUUUAGGCAAAUAUAAAAUGAAAUUCACUAUUACGCAGGUCCUUUACUAUUGCAUUAAUUCUAGCUGCCUAAAACAUUGAUGCCUGCGUGAGCGGCUGUUAGUUCCAUCUGCAGCCAGUUUCAUCGUUCUUGUUGACCGGUAAACAUGUCUAUUGAAAGCUUGGUGCAGGACAUUGGAAAGAAGCAGUACACGCAGUUGUUGUGAAGAAGUUGUAAAUAAAAAACAAAUUACGAAUUAAAAUCGACUUGAAAACGAUAUUAAAUCUGCAAAGACAUUAAGAUGUCAACUAAUAACAGAAAUAUAUUAAAAGUCACGAUAUAAAAGUGUAAUCAAUUUUAAUUGUUCUUGUAGAAAUACAAGUAUAACAUGUUUAUGUCUUAAGCUCAUGUAACAAAAGUAUACAAAGGUGUAAGAUUAUAAUACAAAUUUCGAUCCAGUCAUUAGUUUUAUAGAAUCCAGAGUCUUCUGCUUUGGUUAGUCAUUAUUCACUACUUGUCCGUGCAUACAAUUUGAAGCCAACAUCACAACUUACUCCAGUGAGUUUUUGGUGACCAAUCGGAAAAAAUCCAUACGCCGUACAGUAAAAUGGUUUUUGCGCCCUCAUGAUGAUCAGGUUUAUGUAAACCCUCAGCUUGUAGUCUUUUAUUGUCCAAUUUAAGUUGUAUACAGCAUCAGCCAGAGACCUUGUCUGUUAAACAGAAUUUUAAAUAUACAUUUAUACUUGUCGCUAAUAUUUCACUAAUGGCAAUAAGCUGAUUAGCUGGCGCACCUCUUCGGUUAGCUUCUCGGCGAAAAUGCAGAAAAAAAAUAUUUGAAAUAGUGUUAUCAACAGCAUUGUGAAGUAGAUACCUGUAUCCAAGUAAGCUUUUUCUGAAAUCGUCUAAAAUUAUUUGUACUGUUUCAUCUUAUGAUUCCAAAAUAUUAUUCUAAAUUGUUCAUUAAAA